GGGCUGUUGGUCUAGCUUGGUAUAAAAUAUGCAUAAGCUAUUUGCCAAAGAUUCCUGACUUGGGCUCAGGAGCUCGUGGGUUCAAAGUUUAUGUGCGAUCUUGCACAAAAUGAAAAUCCUACACAGCCCACCA
rnacentral:tRNA from 1 species